rnacentral:lncRNA from 10 species
GAACUGAGAUCCCAAAAAGGCUCAGAACUGCAGUAGUGGAGGCCCGGGACUGGGGGAUAAAGGCUUAGGUGGUGGACGAGGCUGCGGGCCCAGCAACAGGCCUUGCGUACCAUCCUGGGGGCCGGGGAACUGACAACAACAGGCGACAUGCGCAGCGCACCCGAUCCGUGCCACACGCUGUGCCUGCGCUUCAUACACAUCCCCCACUUUCAUCCUCGCGACAGCCCUCUGAGGAAGCGCUCCCGGCUCAGGGCGCCUUGGGUCCGUGGCGCCACCUGCUGUUCUCGCGGCGCCAGCGCAGUCUGCGAGGCCGUCCCAGCUCUUUCCACCCGAGCGCGAGGUAGACGCCGGGGCCACCCGCAGCACGCAGAGCUUCUGGGAGCCGGUGGCAAGGCCGAAUUGGGAUGCAAACCAAAUGGACGUGGGUGACUGGCAGAAAACGCCUCCCACAAAUGGGAGGGAUUUCGGAGGGAACCGAAAGAAAGUUGGAACUACUACAGCCACCCCAACCUUGAGCAACCAUCACUCUGAUCAAUCAGCAGCCAUCAACAUUGAGACAAGACUCUCCACCAGCAAAAAGAUUAUGACUUGUCCGGGUGCGGUGGCUCACACCUGUAAUCCCAGCACUUUGGGAGGCUGAGGCAGACAGAUCAUCUGAGGUCAGGAGUUCGAGACCAGCCUGACCAACAUUGUGAAACCUGUCUCUACUAAAAAUACAAAAAAUUAGCCGGGCAUGGUGGUAGGCACCUAUAAUCUCAGCUAUUUGUAAGGCUGAAGCAGGAGAAUUGCUUGAACCUGGGAGGUGGAGGUUGCAGUGAGCCGAGAUCACAUCAUUGCACUCCAGCCUGGGCAACAAGAGCAAAACUCCGUCUAAAAAAAAUAUAUAUAUAUAUAUGACUCACUGAAGGCCCACAUGAUCAUUCGCAAUUUUUAGCCAUAACGUAUUUUUAAAAUUAAAGUAUAUACAUUGAUGUUUUAGACAUAAUGGCAUUGUACUCUUAUUAGACUACAGCAUAGGGUAAACAUAACUCCUCUAUGCACUGGGAAAUAAAAAAAUCUGUGAC